rnacentral:rRNA from 1 species
AUGUGUGAUCAUGUCGUUGGCGCCACCACCACCUUCGCCCUCUGGCACAAGAUCCGUGACUAUUUUCUCGCCAAUCGCGCCGCCCGCUUCAUGAUUCUCAACCGCCAGUACCGCAACCUCAAGCAAGGUGAUCUGUCGGUCUCCGAAUGUGCUCGACGGAUGAAGCUCCUCGCCGACGGCCUCGCCGACAUCAACCACGCCAUCACCGAGGUGGAUCUCACCACUCAGUUUCUCCACGGCCUCGACAAGCGACUCGACACGAUCCGGGUCGUGCUUGGCAAUCAAGAUCUCCCCUUCGACAUUGUCCUCUGCCGCGUCGUCCUGGCUGAGGAGUCCCAGGAGCAGCGCGCGGCCGAGGAGAGUGCCUCCGCCUUCGCCGUGAUCGGCGGCGCCUCUGGUGCCGGCUCUAGCACCGGCGGCCGUGGCCCAAACGAUUGUGUGGAUCGCCCCUCUGCCGCCCCACCGCAUCCUCCUCAGGAUCCGAGGCAUGCACGCCCACUACCCCUCCGCCACGUCUACCCCGCCAUGCACAGCCGGCUGAACCCCCACGUAAUUCGCAUCAAAUGA